ensembl:lncRNA
CCAUAAAAGGAUAUGCAGGUGUAUAAAAGGACGAGGUAAAUAAUGAAAAUGGUGAUGAGAUGCCACUGAAAAGAAUUAUAGCAGCUAAUGUUUAAUGAGCAUUUAUUAAGUCUUCAAAUGCUUUAUGUGCAUAUCUCAUUCAAAUUUAGAUUAACCCAUGAAGGAAGUACUCCUAUUUGCCCACUUUUAUAGACGAAGAAACUGAGGCACAGAAAAUUCAAUAACUUCUUGGAAGUCACGUGGUGGAAGAACCAACAUUUCCACCCAGAACUUGAGGCUUCACUACAAGUGAAGACUGAGGUUUUGUUGUUCUCCUUUCUUGGGAUUUUCAGGUUCCAGGCUGAGAAGUUGUAAAAACUCAGCUUCAGGAAGCGAGAGAAUCUGUGCAGUGGCUCUGGGAUAAGUGAGCUCUGAAGCUGCAGUCGGGGGCUCUAUUGGAAAAAUUCCUUCUCUUAGGCACUUUUACGGAACUUGAGUCUUCGGGCAGCAUAUUUCGGAGUCUGAUUUAAAGCGGAUAGAGGUCCAGAAGUCUCUGAGGAUAAGGUCGGUAACAGGUAAUCUAAAACAGCAAGUAGCUGGAAAGGAUUCCGGUGAAGUAAAAUAUACCGUCCCUGGGUGGGCUCGAACCACCAACCUUUCGGUUAACAGCCGAACGCGCUAACCGAUUGCGCCACAGAGACACGAAGAUUUUGGUUCCUAAACUUUUUCCUGGUCCCGAGAAAUUGCUUUUCAGCCUCUGGCUGGGGCCGUCCUCAGAUUAUCGCAUUCCAAAAACCAGGAACGCAGGAGACGCUGAGGCUCAGAAUUGUGUCAUUGGGCACGUUUGGACAUUCAUACCCGGCCAGAGUCAGCUGGCGGACUCUGACGGCCGAAGGCCACAUCCACGGCCUUGUCUCCUGGCUCGAGGUGACAACGUCUCUGGCUGAAGUCAUCCGCUUUCCCAUUCUUAGCUCCCGUCACCCGUCGCGCUCACAGCAAGUCCUGCAGGACCCGGCGGGCGCGCGUGCGAAGGACACGAACCGGCUGUGCCCCCGCCGCGCUGCCCGCUCUCGAUGCUUCUGGAUGUGGACUCCACCGGGCGGGACCUGGGAAUUGCUCGCGAUGCAGCCCGUCCCCCAGAGCAGGGCCUGGCACCUAGUAGGCGCCCAAUUAAUGCUCGGUGAAGGAAUGCAUUCCGCCGCAGGGUCCUAGGGGAACCAAGAAUUCCAGUGUGGGCUUUAAGCAUUUAGUCCCAUUAGGAACUGUGGAAUGGGAAGACGGGAAAGGUUUCUCGUACAGGCGCGCUUUUGUUCCCAGAGCUGAUUCAGAUCACUGCAAAGGCCCUGACUUUGGACACGUGCGCACCGUGGCUGAACUGAGCUCCCCGCCGUGGACGCCCACGUAGCCUCAGCCUGGGGUCGUCUGUCCUGGGAGUGGGGGUGGGAAAGCUGAAGAAGAGGAGAAGAAAGCGAGUUGGGGCGGGGGGCAGCCUGGUGAGGGGUGGGGAGAGAGCGAGCGAGCGCUCUGGCUACUAAAGAAAAAGGCCAACAGAAAAUGGAAAAUGCCUAUUUUCGUUAAAUAGCUUCGAUCACCCUCCCCCUGCCCCCUCUGUCGGUCAAAGUGAAGACCGUGAUCGUGUACGGUUGAUGGUUUUGAAUCCGAAUGACGGAUGUUCAUCUUUGAAAUGCUUAGUUAAAGACAGCAACUCCUCGAGAUGUCACCCUUAAGACCUGGCGACUUCUCGAGUCCAGAUCUCGGAGCAGGCCCCAGAGGAGAGGCGGAGAACGCGCAGGGCUGAGGCGCAGAAAGUGCGCUUGGCGCCGCGUGAACUUUCACUUGUGCACCCACGAUUGUCGAAGAAAGUUGGAAAAUUUCAGUAACAGGACUAAGGAGGUGGAUCCGUGGUCACAGGAACCCAAAGAGCCAUCAGGUCACUGAUUCGCGGGCUGGACCAUGGGCUGACCGCUGGACCACGUAUCACUAUGGAGCGAGGAUCAAGAGAUAAAGGUCCCGGAAGGCUGAGUCGCGGGGCCCGGCAGUCACACCAGUGGCGGGGGAGGCGUGUGGGGAGGAACCCGCGUGGACAGGAGAGGAGCUGCGGAGAGGGGGCCUCGCACAGAGGUGGUGAGAGUGUCCUGGCGUCUGUACAGCAGACACCGUGAACCGAGUUUAUUAACAUCGUCAGUCACCGCGCCUCCGCGUGUCCCCACCGUGUGGGCCCAUCGGUGUUCCGGGAAGGAUUCCGUCUACCUGGCAAUGUGCGUCAACAGGUGUGAGCCUGAAUAUUACACUUUUAAAAAGCGAAAACGAACUAUAGAAUCUGGGAACUGUCUAUCUGGUUUUGUAUUAUAUCGCUUUGAGGCUCAUUCGAAAGCGUUGUGAUUUGAGGUUAUUGGGGGGGGUGGUGGUGACUGCGUUCGAGAGACUACAAGUGAUUAAUUUUCAUCCAAAAAUCUUUGGAGGAUUCCCCUACCUAACUGUAGUUUCAAGUUGAAGAUUAGUGACAUUUUGGGAGUUUUUGUUCUCUUUUCAUUUAAAAAU